rnacentral:rRNA from 1 species
CCUGAUGCAGCCAUGCCGCGUGUGUGAAGAAGGCCUUCGGGUUGUAAAGCACUUUCAGCAGUGAGGAAAGGUUAGUAGUUAAUACCUGCUAGCUGUGACGUUAACUGCAGAAGAAGCACCGGCUAACUCCGUGCCAGCAGCCGCGGUAAUACGGAGGGUGCGAGCGUUAAUCGGAAUUACUGGGCGUAAAGCGUACGCAGGCGGUUGAUUAAGCGAGAUGUGAAAGCCCCGGGCUCAACCUGGGAACUGCAUUUCGAACUGGUCAACUAGAGUGUGAUAGAGGGUGGUAGAAUUUCAGGUGUAGCGGUGAAAUGCGUAGAGAUCUGAAGGAAUACCGAUGGCGAAGGCAGCCACCUGGGUCAACACUGACGCUCAUGUACGAAAGCGUGGGGAGCAAACGGGAUUAGAUACCCCGGUAGUCCACGCCGUAAACGAUGUCUACUAGGAGUUCGGUUUUUCGGAACUGUCUUCCAAAGCUAACGCAUUAAGUAGACCGCCUGG